rnacentral:tRNA from 1 species
UGGGCUGUAGCAUAAUGGCAAUGCACCUGGCUGUUAACCAGGCUUAUGUAGGUUCGAAUCCUACCGGCCCAG